UACAGAGGGUGCAAGCGUUAAUCGGAAUUACUGGGCGUAAAGCGUGCGUAGACGGUUCCGUAAGUCGGGUGUGAAGGCCCCGGGCUCAACCUGGGAAUUGCAUUCGAGACUGCGAAGCUAGGGUACGGAAGAGGGAAGCGGAAUUUCUGGUGUAGCGGUGAAAUGCGUAGAGAUCAGAAGGAACAUCAGUGGCGAAAGCGGCUUCCUGGUCCAGUGCCGACGUUCAAGCACGAAAGCGUGGGGAGCAAACAGG
rnacentral:rRNA from 1 species